rnacentral:rRNA from 1 species
GGAAAGGCCCUUUCGGGGGUACUCGAGCGGCGAACGGGUGAGUAACACGUGAGUAAUCUGCCCUGCGCUCUGGGAUAGCCACCGGAAACGGUGAUUAAUACCGGAUAGGACCACUUCACGCAUGUGAUGGUGGUGGAAAGUUUUUUCGGCGCAGGAUGUGCUCGCGGCCUAUCAGCUUGUUGGUGAGGUAACGGCUCACCAAGGCUUUGACGGGUAACCGGCCUGAGAGGGUGACCGGUCACACUGGGACUGAGACACGACCCAGACUCCUACGGGAGGCAGCAGUGGGGAAUAUUGGACAAUGGGCGGAAGCCUGAUCCAGCAACGCCGCGUGAGGGAUGACGGCCUUCGGGUUGUAAACCUCUUUCAGUACCGACGAAGCGAAAGUGACGGUAGGUACAGAAGAAGGACCGGCCAACUACGUGCCAGCAGCCGCGGUAAUACGUAGGGUCCGAGCGUUGUCCGGAAUUAUUGGGCGUAAAGGGCUCGUAGGCGGUUUGUCGCGUCGGGAGUGAAAACACCGGGCUUAACUCGGUGCUUGCUUUCGAUACGGGCAGACUAGAGGUAUGCAGGGGAGAAUGGAAUUCCUGGUGUAGCGGUGAAAUGCGCAGAUAU